ensembl:lncRNA
CUGUCACAAAACAUAUUUCACAUAUUUACAUGGAGUAUAAAAAAAUGUAGCCAUAGCAGACAAAGCUGAAAUAAGCCUACCAGAUUUCCCCCUCAAAGAAGCAGCAAAUAAUUGAUUAUUGUCGCCACCUGCCGGAAGGAGAGAAACUGGAAUCACGUUUUAUUCUGAGCAACUGUCUUGCAAUUGCUAGGCUAAUCUUCGUAACUGUAGCAUAUCAAAUUUAUUAUAAUUUCACUUUACCACCGGAAAGAUUACCAGAGGACAAGAGGACUCUUCCAGUUUAUGAGAUAAGGCUUCCAAGUAGAGACAGAAAGAAGGGCGUAAAAUGGUUAAUCCAUGUGAGUUUUCGAAUUUGUCGGAUGAUGAGGGAAAUGAUACAGAGAAGACGGAGAUGCAGGACAGCUCUCCCAGUCCAGCGCCAAGUUUUGAGGAGGAGGAUUGGGACACUGAAAUCAACCAGCUAAAUAUGCCUUAUGGCCCAGAAGACCUUGUUAUGGAAGAUCCCCAUCUUAAAAUGCCAUUCCACGUCCCCGAUCACAAGCUGUCAGAGGUCAAGUACAAACCGUCUAUUCACCAUGUACCACCAGUGCGUAUUAUCCAAACACAGAAAGUGGUCGUUGAAGGAGAUCAAUUUGAGGACGCGGAGGAAUGAAGAGAAACUUUAUUAUGAAAGUUGUUUCCUGUCCUGAGCAAUUUGCACUUCGGUCUCCAACCUUAAAGGACGAUUUUUUUUUAGUAAGUUAAUUAAGUCUGUGAUUUGUUCUGAGGAUGUAAUCACCAAUUAAAAACAACAACCUGUCAGAGGAAGAAGGAGGUCUACAUUUAUGUUUCUGGCAUUUGAAGGACAUUGAUGCUACGGUGCUAGAGCAGAGCAAGGACCGCACGGAUAAAUGAUAAGUGAGGAAGAGGCUUUUUAUGUUUCACUUGUAUUAAUCAGAAUCAUCAUAUUGCUUUGGGAAAAAAAGUUGCAUCAUCCUCCUGAAACCUGCAUACUAUAAUAAAAGUGCUGUGAAACAG